GGGCGUGUAGCUCAGUUGGUUAGAGCGCAACACUGAUAAUGUUGAGGUCCUCGGUUCGAUUCCAAGCACGCCCACAA
rnacentral:tRNA from 3 species